GGGUCAAUAAGUGCAUUUUCAAAGGGGCCACUUUGUCCGGACUCUAUUUCAAAUUGUAUUCAUCCGAUCUUCACCAAACUUGGUCAGCAGUUGCAUCUAGUUGAUAUAUAGGCCAAGUUCGAAUAUGGGUCAUGCCGGGUCAAAAACUAGGUCAUAGGGUCAAUUAGUCCAUUUUCAACAGCGCCACUUUGUCCGGACUCUUAUUCAAAUUGUAUUCAUCCGAUCUUUACCAAACUUGGUCAGUAGUUUCAAGAUAAGUAAUAUCAGUACAGGAAAUACUGCCAUUCUAUACCUAUGUAGGUCUAAACAAUUAUGAUUUAAAUAUUGUGUUUUAGAGAACAAAUGAGACUAAGUGUACACUUAUUGAUAUCAAUGCAUAUAUAUGAAUAUAUCAGUUAUAUAAGU